AACGCUGGCGGCGUGCCUAACACAUGCAAGUCGAACGCGCUUUUUAGGAAGCGAGUGGCGGACGGGUGAGUAACACGUGGGAACCUACCUUGAGGUGAGGGAUACCGGCGAGAAAUCGCCGACAAGCCCGCAUACGUUUCCCGGUAUGGGGAAGCAAAGCUCUUUUUCGGAGGAGCGCCACAGGAUGGGCCCGCGGCCGAUUAGCUAGUUGGUGGGGUAAAAGCUCACCAAGGCGUCGAUCGGUAGCUGGUCUGAGAGGACGAUCAGCCACACUGGGAUUGAGAACGGCCCAGACUCCUACGGGGGGCAGCAGUGAGGAAUUUUCCGCAAUGGAGGCAACUCUGACGGAGCAACGCCGCGUGCAGGAAGACGGCCUUCGGGUUGUAAACUGCUUUUCUGUGGGAAGAGUUCGGACGGUACCACAGCAACAAGCCCCGGCUAACUACGUGCCAGCAGCCGCGGUAAUACGUAGGGGGCAAGCGUUGUCCGGAGUUACUGGGCGUAAAGGGCACGCAGGCGGUUGUGUCAGUUUGCGGGGACAGUGGGCGGCUUAACUGCCCAAGGGUCGCAAAGACGGCACGACUGGAGAGCGA
rnacentral:rRNA from 1 species